GCCGAUUGUGUGAAGCUGUCUCAUUCCUUCCACCUGUGUCUGAUUCCCAUUAUCUGUCAGCCAUUCCUUGGUGGAUUUGCAAGCUAACUUAUUUUGUUACCCUACUGAAAAGUCCUAUCCUAGUUCAAAAUGAAAUUUUAGAAAGAUGGCCUUACAUUACCUUCUAAGCGCAUGAUGUGGAAUCCAUAGUUAAAUCAAUGACUUUAGGCUUCUCAGUCCCCGAAAGAGCAAAGUAACCCCAAACUGUAAUAUUUCCACCAACAUGAGCCGCAGUGAAUGUGAGAUUUUUUUUUUUUUCUUCUACUUUAGGAUACGGAUCCCAUGCUAUUCAGAUUUGUGAAAUCACUCUCCUUUGACACCAGCUGUUGCAAGAGUUGUCUGCAGAUGAUGUAAUGAAAUUUGGGGUUUAUUGAAGACUUCUUUCACAUCAAACAGUCUGCUCCUGGGCUGACUGUUAUGUAUGAUGUAUUUCAAAUAAUUUGGAGAUCUCUUUUUUUUAAAUUCCUUGCCAGACUCUUUGGAAUCAUAGACAUAACAAGACAUUUCUAAAAGCUGUA